rnacentral:rRNA from 1 species
AGAGCGAACGCUGGCGGCAGGCCUAACACAUGCAAGUCGAACGGACUCUUCGGAGUUAGUGGCGGACGGGUGAGUAACACGUGGGAACGUGCCUUUAGGUUCGGAAUAGCUCCUGGAAACGGGUGGUAAUGCCGAAUGUGCCCUUCGGGGGAAAGAUUUAUCGCCUUUAGAGCGGCCCGCGUCUGAUUAGCUAGUUGGUGAGGUAAAGGCUCACCAAGGCUACGAUCAGUAGCUGGUCUGAGAGGAUGACCAGCCACAUUGGGACUGAGACACGGCCCAAACUCCUACGGGAGCAGCAGGUGGGGAAUCUGCGCAAGUGGGCAAAGCCUAGACGCAGCCAUCGCCGCGUGAAUGAUGAAGUCUUAGGAUUAGUAAAAUUCUU